UACGUAGGGGGCAAGCGUUGUCCGGAAUCAUUGGGCGUAAAGAGCGCGUAGGCGGCCCAGUAAGUCCGCUCUGAAAGUCAGGGGCUCAACCCCUGGAUGCGGGUGGAUACUGCUGGGCUAGAGUCCGGAAGAGGUGAGUGGAAUUCCUGGUGUAGCGGUGAAAUGCGUAGAUAUUGGGAGGAACACCAGUGGCGAAGGCGGCUCACUGGACCGGUUCUGACGCUGAUGCGCGAAAGCGUGGGGAGCAAACGGG
rnacentral:rRNA from 1 species